rnacentral:lncRNA from 10 species
GGGAGGCUGAGGCAGGAAGAUCACUUGAGACUAGGAGUUCAAGACCAGUCUGGGCAACAUAGUGAGACCCUGUCUCCACAAAACAAAACAAAACAAAAGAUUAGCCAGGUGUGGUAGUGCAUAUCUGUAGUCCCAGCUACUCAGGAGGCUGAGGCAUAAGCCACCACACCUGGCCAAGCAUCUGAAUCCUGACUAUACAUUGACUAACAGUGAUCAUUGGCACAUUGCUUAAUCUCUUUGUCCCUCUGUUGUCUCACCUGUGAAAUGGAGCAAGCAGGACCUGUAUUAAAGGAUUAGGGUUAGGGUUAUGGAAAUAAACGAAGUCACAGAUUUGAAAGCCUUUGUAACUGUUAGGCCUUUAUGAAUCCAAGAUUGUAUUCCCUCUGACUUUACCAACUAUUGUAGUAACAACUCUCAAAUAUGCCCAGUCAGUUAACUGAUAUAACCUUGCGUAUAGCUGUGUCAGUUAUUUACUUUUUUCCUAUAUACCUCUGGUCCACUCCUCCCCUUCAAAUCACUAUCAGCAAGUAGUGCCCAGGGACUCCUGUGUUAUAACAUUAGCCAGAACCAAACAGUUAGUAAGGAAUCUGCUACAACAAAUUUAUACAGAGCAAAAUAUAAAGUAUUUUAAAAUUGGCAUCCUUUUGAGAUAGUCUGUUCCUCUCCUGCCCUUCAUUAGUUGGGUACUCAAGGGUUGGCAGUGUUUUCCCAUCUAGAAGCUCAUGCUGCAUAUUGACCUGCAAAGGUAUUAGUCCAGGUACCAAUGGCAACUUUUAUGUUAUCCAUCAAUCACUUUAAUGAGUACAAGAAAGCAUCCUAUCACCCUGCCAAAAGACAGAGGAAUUAAGAAUGACUCAUUUAUCACUUAAAUGUGUGAGUGUUUUCUAUGUGUCAGGUGCCAUCCUGGUGCUGUGGGGCACAGAACACAGACUCCAGUUUCCAGGGGGUUACCGUUAAAUGGGGCUGAAGCAGCAACAGUGUGUCGGUCUCCUGUAUUCAAUCUCCUCAUAAUAACUGAGCCACUAGAUCAGGAGCAGUGGCUCACGCCUGUGGUCCCAGCACUUUGGGAGGCCGAGACAGGUGGAUCACCUGAGGUCAGGAGUUCGAGACCAGCUUGGCCAACAUGGUGAAACCCAGUCUCUCCUAAAAAUACAAAAAUUAGCUGAGCGUGGUGGUAUGUGCCUGUAAUCCCAGCUGCUCAGAAGGCUGAGGCAGGAGAAUCGCUUGAACUUGGGAGGCGGAGGUUGCAGUGAGCUGAGAUCGCGCCACUACACUCCAGCCUGGGCAACAAGAGCGAAACUCGGAAUCAAAAAUAAAAAUAAAAAAUAAGAUGGUAAAAUUUGUAUGUGUAUUUUACUACAAUUUUU